UCACCUUAUUUAAAUUUAAAAGAAUCGAUGACAAUUUAGUAUAAACAUCAAAUAGUAAUUUAAAGGAGUUAUUACAUGGGGGAAAAGCAAAUUUAUACAAAAGGCAGAACAAGCUACAGUUAAAUAUAAAGCUGUGGCAAGCCUAAGGGAAACCUUUUAAUGACAACUUCCUGAAGUAAAACAUUCUAGUAAGGAAAGGAAAGGAAAUCAACCGAGACUCCGAAAGUAAUGGUGAGUGAAAUCGGACUAGCCUAAAUCUUAAGUAUUAAAAAAUUAAAUUAGUAGGAACAUUAAUCCUCAUCUAAGCCAUAGAAGGUAUCCAGACCUGUAAAUUUUUUAAACUAAGAAUACCAAGUACAAUGAGAGAAAACUUGUUGGAAUAUAGGGGUACCAUCCUCUAAGGCUAAGUAUUAUAAAUUUAGCAAUAGCGCAGAGUACUGUAAAGGAAUCUUCUGAAAAAGACCACCUAAUAUAUAGAUAUAAGGUAGAUUAUGGUAAUCUAAUUAGAUUAUUACAUGGUUAUUGUCUUUAUAGAUAAAUAACAAAAAGUAAUCUCUUGAAAUAGAAUUGUAAUAGUAACUCUAUAAGCAGUCGAAGUUUUUAUAAGAAUUAAAAAUGACGGCGUACCUUUUGCAUAAUGGGUCAGCAAGUUAAUAGGAGUAGCAAGGUUAAAAGCCCUAGCGAAAGCGACUGAACUAAUACAAUUAAAAUUUUUAAUUAAGUUUUAAUAGAAAUAAUUCUUUAUGGAAAAUUAACUUUGUUUAAAAUCUCAUAAUUGAAUUAUUUUUUUAUUUAAUUAGUGUUGGAUAAGUUACUUCUAUUAGACCCGAAGCCAGUUGAUCUUUCCAAGACCAGAUUAUAAUGGAUCGAACGGGUGAAUGUUGCAAUAUUCUCCGAUGAGUUUUGGAAAGCGGUGAAAUGCCAAUCUAAACUGGUGAUAGCUGGUUUUCUACGAAACAUAUAUAAGUAUGACAUCUAUACAAGAUUUAUGGAGGUACAGCACGUGUAUCCAAACAAAUUUAAGAUUUAUUAAUCCAUAUGAUUCUGAAACCAUUGUCUAUUUUUUUGUAAGGAAAAGAGGCAGUAGGUCAGGAUUUAUGGGUAAAGUUAAUAAAUUUUUUAAGCGUUCAGGAAGAGGGGACGUAAAAAUCCUCCAAUGGAUUUCAAACUCGGAAUUACAUAAAUUGAUGAUAGAUAUUCAGACUAUUCAUGCUAAGUUGGAUAGUCAAGACGGAAACAGCCGAGAACAAGAAUCAAGGUCCCUAAUGAUUAUUAAGUGAAAAUAAGGAUGUGAAAUAUUGAAAACAACUGUAAAGUGAGCCUGGUAGUCGCUAUCUUUUAAUGACCGUUGUAACAACGUAGCAGUUAUUAGAAUUUCGCCCCGAAAAUUUAACGGGUCUAAAUAAUCAACCGAUAUCUUGUUAAUUAUAAAUUUUAUAAUUAAAUUUAUAGUUUAGGUAGUAGAACAUUCAGAAACUGAAAAAUAAACAGUGUUUCAUUGUUUUUAAGUAGCUGAAGAGAUAAUGCUGACAUGAGUAACAAAAGAAGUUAUAAUACUUCUCGCCGAAUACGAAAGGUUUGAAUAUGAUCUAUCAAAAUCAUAUAUGUUUCAUAAUAUCGGUCUCUAAGGUUUAAGCCAACGCUUUAACUGAUGAGUUUUUUAAGUAUCAUCCUUAUAUCUCUUGCUUUUAUUAUUAUCAAUUGCUAUUGAUUUUAUUUUUAUUAUGACUAUCGGGAGAUAGAUAAAUUAAUUUUUAUCCUCUUUUUAUUUUAAUAAAAAUGGAAAAUGCUUGGAUAGUAAGUUUUUUAAAGAAACUGUAAUUAUAAUAAAUUUAAAAAAGAUUGAUACUCUUAUCUCCUUCUAACUUUUAUACUGUCCUUGUCCUUAAGGGCUACUUUUAAUAGUAAAGUAUAAAGGUGAAUUAGGCAACAAUUAAAUCUUUUAACAAUUUAAAAGGGGGAAGGAGAAAUAGAUUAAAGAAUAUAGCUAUUUUUAAUUUAAAAAGGAAUUAGAGACUAUAUAUAAUAUAGUGUUUAAAAGUACAGAGAACUAGUAUUAAGGAUCAGGAAAAAAUUAAAAAAUACACCGUACCCUAAACCGUAAUCAGGUUCGUAGGUAGAGAAUACUAAGGCGUAGAGCUAAAAGUUGUUAAGGAACUCGGCAAGUUCUCCUCAAAAGUUUGACGAAAAGAGGCUACCGCGAAAAUUAAGCCAAUUCUUCUUAUAGAAGAAAAUUAGUAGCGGUAUAAGAAAAUCGGAAGCCACGACUGUUUACUAAAAACACAAUUCAGAGCAAUGAUAAGUAUCAUAGUAUUCUGGAUGAAAUUUGCUCAAUGCCUGCAGUAUAAGAGAGGUAAUUUUUUAGUUACUAAUCGAAAGCCUGGUAAAUAGCGGUCUUAACUAUGAGGAUCCAAAGGUAGCAAAAUCAAUUGGCCAUUAAAUGUGGUCCAGUAUCAAUAAUGUAACGAUGGUUUCACUGUCUCUACAACUUGCUCAGUGAAAUUGAACUGUGAGUGCAGAUGCUCACUAACUCAAGGGGGACGGGAAGACCCUAUGCAGCUUUACUGUAGUUAGUUAUUACAAUCCUCAAGCUUCUAAUUAAUAGCAAUUAGGCCUGUCGAAUGACAAAUUCUGGAAACCUUAGAAUUUAGAACUUGUUUAUUGAUAAACCGUAAAAAAGGUAGUGUUUACUAUCAAGGAAAAGUGACUAAUUGGCAGUUUGACUGGGGCGGUCGUCUUUAAUAAAGUAGCAAAGUACAUCCAAAUAUAUUUAAAAUUUAGUAGGGGAUUAUUUAUAAUAAUCUUUCGAACACACAUACAAAGAAGAUCUUAGGAUCUUUAAUUUUUAACAGAGAAGAAGGUUUAGCUAGAAGUGGAAUGGAGGUCCAUUAACCAGUGAAAGGUUACGGAGAGCGUAAUGGCGGAAAGCAAGCCUAACUGAAAGACUUAGAAGUCGCACAGAUACGUAAGUAGGGCAUAGUGACCCCUCGUUAAUCUAUGGAAUUGGCGAGGCUCAAUCGAUAAAAGUUACGCUAGGGAUAACAGGCUGAUAGCUGGUGAGAGUACACAUUGUCCUAGCUGUUUGGCACCUCGAUGUCGACUCAUCCUAUCCUCCGGGUGGAGAAGCUCGGAAGGGUUCGGCUGUUCGCCGAUUAAAAGGGUACGCGAGUUGGGUUUAAUACGACGUGAGUCAGUAUGGUCCCUAUCUUCUUGAGUAAUAAAUAGUAAAAGGGGGCAGACCUUCUAGUACGAAAGGAUCAAUAGGCUGUGUUUCUCUAGUGUACCAAUUGUAGAUGAAUAAAUCUUCUACUUCUUCAUAAUUAAUAUUUCUAUUGUAUAAUAGGACUGGAGGUUAUGUUGAAGGUAUUUGUAUGAAUCUAACUUGACUGGGAUUUAUACAAGUGUACGAAGAUUCGUUGAGUUAAAACAUUUUAAAACUAGUCAGGUAGUUAAUUUAAUUUGUUUCUCAAUCUUUGCAUAGU
rnacentral:rRNA from 1 species